rnacentral:tmRNA from 1 species
GGGGAUGUACAGGCUUUGACAGAAAGAUUUUGAAGUCUGAAGCCGGCUUUCAGGUGAUUGCUUGGUCUCACCUUAAUCCGUCCAAGCAAAUUAAGUGCUAAUACCACUGCAAAGAUUCUUGAGGAUGCCCGACGUUUACGUUUGGCUCCCGCUUUCGCUCCGGCGUUUGCGUAGAGAAUCUUGUAUCGCCUUUUUGCGCGAUACCGUUCCUUAACCGACGCCUUGUGGGUUAAAAGAGCGUAAUAGCCGAGGCUCAGGGAAACUCCCGCUUGUGUUCCGGGGGCGUACCGAAAUUUCGAAGACACGACUGCGGUGCUUUUGUUCACUUUUUAUACUGCGGUCGUAAACAAAGCGGACUAUGAAAGUAAAAGGUUUUACACUUCCUUUUUGGACGCGGGUUCGAUUCCCGCCAUCUCCACCA